CUAUUACACCUCUACGUCACCUCUUCACUCACAGUUUUUACCAUCCAGAGAAAGGAGAGAGAGAGAGAGAGAGGAGGGGGUGUGUUCUGCUAGAGGGAGAGGGGGAGAUAUCGAAGAAAUCCACGUUAGGGUUCAAAUGUUUUUAGGGUUUCGCCGUACACGGCGGAUGGAUGUGGGUCCAUGAUGGUGGUUCAACACGACGACGACGGUAGUGGUCAACAACGCUGGCGACCAAGCAGCGGUUGGCCCUGCAGGUGUGGAUGGUCCUGACGGUGGUUCCUCCACCGCCAAUUGCAGACAAUCGGAACCGCUAGAACACUUAUCGACUGGAAAAACCGCCAAAAGUUCUUCGCUACAUGACUUUUAAGUGAAGGAACGGAUGUAGAGACAAGCACAAUCGUGGUCAUGUGAAGUUCGCGUGGUGCUCCAACUACUGCAAGUGUUGCCCUAUGGUUUGUUUUCCCACUUUGUAUUAGCCAAAUAUCAUAAUAUACUGUCCCACCCAGUUAAUCAACGGCUUGGGUCCAUUGCAUCAAUAGUCCCAACACCUGACAACGAUGAGCUUCCACGGUUGACGGUUCUAUUUCAACUUCUGCGCUUAUGAAAGACUCGAGCCACUUUAUGGAAGCAAAGACCAAGUAAUAGAUGACAAUGUGACAAAGGACAACAGACCGUAUGUAAACCUAACGUACUCUAACAGAUUCCAAUAACAGCAACACUUUGGAAAGAGAUUUCAACAUCAAAAGACAGGUUCGACAGAUCAACUAUAGAAAGCUCACACUAUCCAUCUGUGAUCGCUGCCACGGCCAUGAAAGUGAUUCGAUAUCUAAGUAUUCGCUAAUUCGAGUUCGGGUGGCUUUGAAUUCGGGUCGGGUUUCGUGUUUUGGAUAAAAAUAAACAGCCCUAUUGUAGCGGUGGUCCACUUAUCCAACAUAUGUGUAUCUAAUCUCAGAUACAACUGCAACUAAAGUUUUGAAAGACAGCAGAACAGCUCACAGCUCACAAUCGCAAGCUCACACUAGAAUCACACCUCGAACACUAUUUCCUUUAGCCCGAACCAUGACAACUCUUGCAAGCCUACAAAUGAAAGAUCAACAAGAGCUAAAUGCGAAAACAUUUAUAUGCAACGCGACCAUAACAAAGCUUCUCCCAGAUCAAAACUGGUACUACACUGCAUGCCCUAUUUGCUUCAGAACCAUUUACACAAGUGGUAACAAAUGGGCGUGCCCCUCAGACGGUUACAAUGACACACCCAAGUACAUGUACCGUGUUGUCGCAACUCGCAACCCAUUUAAAUAUAGCACAGGCGCUACUACUCUUGCAACCGUGUUCAACGACGCAGUUAAAGCUUUGCUAGGAAGAGUGUCUUCAGAUGUUGUAACAAAAGAAGCCAAUCCAAUGUUGAUCCAAUCAACACAAGGGAAAGAGAAAACAUUCUACCUGCAAGCUCUAAAGGACAAACGCUCAGGAAAAACUUGAAAUGCACUGUCAACAGAAUUGUUGAACUAGAUGUUUAGAUGCACCUACGCCUUCAUCACCCACACACUCCAUAAAUCCACAUACACCUCUGCAAAAACCUUCUACAACGACUGUCGAAUCUGCUACAAAACGAACCCUCUUCCAAUUGCCAGAUGACGACAGUAGCGAUACACAGAGGAUUCGCUACCCGGACUAAGAAGAUCAGCUAAAAACAUGCACUUUUGGACCACAACGAGCGUACAUCCUCUGUUCAUAUGUUUUGCAAGGGUCUUUUGUAACUAAACCAACCACUAAAACCUUAGCUGAUACACUUGAAAACACCUGCAGACCUAAAGCAAGUGUCAUUUGUGGUUAAACUAACUAAACCAUGUUUAUAAGCUUAUGACUAUCAAAUCCAAUACUGUUAGCUGCUACAUUA